CCCAAGCAUAGCUCAGUCAGUACAGCAUGAGCCUCUUAAUCUCAGGGUUGUGGGUUAAAGUCCCAUGUUUGGCG